rnacentral:rRNA from 1 species
GAUGAACGCUAGCGGCAGGCUUAAUACAUGCAAGUCGAGGGGCAUCAAGGUACACGAAAGUGUAUUGUUGGCGACCGGCGGACGGGUGAGUAAUAGGUAGGUAACCUACCUCAUACUGAGGCAUAGCUGGGAGAAAUUCCAGGUAAUUCCUCAUGAGGUUAUAUGACACAUGUGAUAUAAUCAAAGGUAUCGCAAGGUACUGGUAUGAGAUGGGCUUACUGACCAUUAGCUAGUUGGUGAGAUAAGAGCUCACCAAGGCGAAGAUGGUUAGGGGUUUUGAGAGAGAGAUCCCCCACAUUGGAACUGAGAUACGGUCCAGACUCCUACGGGAGGCAGCAGUAGGGAAUAUUGGGCAAUGGGCGGAAGCCUGACCCAGCCAUGCCGCGUGAAGGAAGACGGCCUUAUGGGUUGUAAAACUUCUUUACUAUGCGACUAACUAGAUUUACGAGAUAAUUCUAUAGAAUGUAGCAUAGCAAAAAGCACCGG